CAUCCUCCAAGGCUAAAUACUCCUGACUGACCGAUAGUGAACCAGUACCGUGAGGGAAAGGCGAAAAGAACCCCGGCGAGGGGAGUGAAAAAGAACCUGAAACCGUGUACGUACAAGCAGUGGGAGCACAGGUUUACCUGUGUGACUGCGUACCUUUUGUAUAAUGGGUCAGCGACUUAUAUUCUGUAGCAAGGUUAACCGUUGAAACACAGAAGCAGGCGUUUCUUACGAUUCAUCAUCGUGUUGCGAAAAUUUGAGAGACUCACGAACAACUUUCGAGGUUAAGCGACUAAGCGUACACGGUGGAUGCCCUGGCAGUCAGAGGCGAUGAAGGGCAGCGACGCUGAUGCGUUGUUGGGUAGGGGAGCGUUCUGUAAGCCUGU
rnacentral:rRNA from 1 species